CUUGGACUUCAGGACUGGAAGCAGAGGAGCUACUUUCGAUCUUCUCCAGACCCGCUCCAACGGCACCGAGGAUGGGUGGAGGUGAGAACAUGGGACAGCUGGCUCAACCUUGUCGCAGGCAGAAGAUGCAGCAGGACCCUCUGGAUGUGGACCCGUUGUUUAUCCGCUUCCUCCGGACGUUCAAGGAAGUCCUCAAAUUUGUUCUCUUCAGCUACACGGUGCUGUUUGGUGCUCUGCUCCUUGCCAGAUGGACCACUUAUUUUAUGUUGGGGAAAUGAAAAGAGAGUGACUGUUGACGAAUGAGCCUGUUCACAGACUUAGAGCUCAUUAAUGAAGUUGAUCAGGCAGACCUGCUCUGGAUUUGUGGUCUAUGCAGUUCCUAUCAAUUAUUAAUGUCUCCCACACUCAACAAUAACAACUGGAGUGAUCAUGUUUGCUUCUCCUUUUGAUUAACACUCUGCAUUAGUGCUCACAGCUACAGUGUUAGGUUUUAAAAAAUAAUCCAAACAGGGUUUUACAGGCACUUAGAUUGAAUGAUACCCAUGUUAACCAUGCCAACUUGCAUCAAAUGUGUUUGUUCACAAUGCUUACAUGUGCAAAUUAGAAAUUGUUAUAUCUGCUGUGUUGCAAAAUGACCACAGUGAAGCUAUAAAACAGUAUUGUAUGGUUGUGUAGCACACAACAAACAGUAUUGUGUAUUCUUGUAGAUAAAAUCUUGAAAUCUGUAUUUUUCCUUGUGGAAGCACAUGUACAAUUUGUCAAAAACGUUUUAUGUUAAUAAGAUAUAAAAGCAGUGGGACGUCGGCUGUUAUUGUGACAAAAAAAGCUGUUCCUUGGUGUUGAAUCACCAGAAAGGCAAAGUGGAGAGCUGCCCCGAGGCCAUGCUCCCAGAGCGUCGGAAGAUUGUAUUGCACACUAUUCUUUAAUAAAUUGGUAAAGAAUUGAAAUAUUAAAUACUCGACCAAAUUACAAUAUAAA